AUCAUCCUUCUCAGAAUUUCCACCAAUAUUUAUAGGAAAACUUCAUUCAGUCAUCCAUUCCAGCCUGAAGAGGAGUCAAGGGCAAUCGGAUCAACUCGUGAACUAGCUGACCAGAACCAAAUACAAUGAGGACUGGGUUAGGUAUGUGGGUGUUGGGCCUGCUGGGUCUAUGUCUUGUUCUUGGCCAGGCUGGGGCAUUACCCAUGGACCUUCCCCCUGGCUUUACUGCAAUGCAUUCGGAAGCAGCUCCCUUGGAGGAAGUACUUUCAAAGGCUUCUCCCACUGCUGGAACUGCCGAAGCUGAAAAUGACAACCCCUUCCACUCUCCAUCCAAGCCCUCGAAAGAGUCCCACCCAGUCUAGCCUGUAGCUCCCACCAUGGCGGCCACACCAGCACCUCCCACAAACGGGCCUCUCCUCGAUGAAGACUUGUUGGCAUGAAAGCUUCUUCAGGCCUGUCAUAUUAAAUAAACCCUUCCAUCACA